rnacentral:rRNA from 1 species
AGCGAACGCUGGCGGCAGGCCUAACACAUGCAAGUCGAACGAACCUUUCGGGGUUAGUGGCGGACGGGUGAGUAACACGUGGGAACGUGCCUUUAGGUUCGGAAUAACUCAGGGAAACUUGUGCUAAUACCGAAUGUGCCCUUCGGGGGAAAGAUUAAUCGCCUUUAGAGCGGCCCGCGUCUGAUUAGCUAGUUGGUUGAGGUAAUGGCUCACCAAGGCGACGAUCAGUAGCUGGUCUGAGAGGAUGAUCAGCCACAUUGGGACUGAGACACGGCCCAAACUCCUACGGGAGGCAGCAGUGGGGAAUCUUGCGCAAUGGGCGAAAGCCUGACGCAGCCAUGCCGCGGGAAUGAUGAAGGUCUUAGGAUGGUAAAAUUCUUUCACCGGGGACGAUAAUGACGGUACCCGGAGAAGAAGCCCCGGCUAACUUCGU